rnacentral:rRNA from 1 species
UACAUACUGUGCGAACGUUAUUCGGAUUUACUGGUCUUAAAGGGUGCGUAGGCGGCUUGUUAAGUAGGGUGUGAAAGCCCCCAGCUCAACUGGGGAAUUGCAUUCUAUACUGGCGAGCUAGAGUGAGAUAGGGUUGUGUGGAACUGCCAGUGGAGCGGUGAAAUGUGUUGAUAUUGGCAGGAACGCCGGUGGCGAAAGCGACACAUUGGAUCUCAACUGACGCUGAGGCACGAAAGCCAGGGGAGCGAACGGG